rnacentral:ncRNA from 1 species
AGAACUGAUAAUCCGACAGGUGGAAUGAUAGGGUAACGCCUUGAAACGCCGCCUUAAUACUCCGAAUGGCGUUUGAUGUGUAAUCAUCAAAUGUCAUAAGCUCGGUGAAGUCGGCAGAAAGCUGCCGUAAGUAACAGAUAAAUGUUACACGAAAGUGUCCCGGAGGCGGGAUAUGCAGCUGAUAUGCCGGAGGUCUAUAAA